rnacentral:rRNA from 1 species
GACGAACGCUGUCGGCGUGCUUAACACAUGCAAGUCGAACGGAAAGGCCCUGCUUUUGUGGGGUGCUCGAGUGGCGAACGGGUGAGUAACACGUGAGUAACCUGCCCUUGACUUUGGGAUAACUUCAGGAAACUGGGGCUAAUACCGGAUAGGAGCUCCUGCUGCAUGGUGGGGGUUGGAAAGUUUCGGCGGUUGGGGAUGGACUCGCGGCUUAUCAGCUUGUUGGUGGGGUAGUGGCUUACCAAGGCUUUGACGGGUAGCCGGCCUGAGAGGGUGACCGGCCACAUUGGGACUGAGAUACGGCCCAGACUCCUACGGGAGGCAGCAGUGGGGAAUAUUGCACAAUGGGCGGAAGCCUGAUGCAGCAACGCCGCGUGCGGGAUGACGGCCUUCGGGUUGUAAACCGCUUUCGCCUGUGACGAAGCGUGAGUGACGGUAAUGGGUAAAGAAGCACCGGCUAACUACGUGCCAGCAGCCGCGGUGAUACGUAGGGUGCGAGCGUUGUCCGGAUUUAUUGGGCGUAAAGGGCUCGUAGGUGGUUGAUCGCGUCGGAAGUGUAAUCUUGGGGCUUAACCCUGAGCGUGCUUUCGAUACGGGUUGACUUGAGGAAGGUAGGGGAGAAUGGAAUUCCUGGUGGAGCGGUGGAAUGCGCAGAUAUCAGGAGGAACACCAGUGGCGAAGGCGGUUCUCUGGGCCUUUCCUGACGCUGAGGAGCGAAAGCGUGGGGAGCGAACAGGCUUAGAUACCCUGGUAGUCCACGCUGUAAACGGUGGGUACUAGGUGUGGGGUCCAUUCCACGGGUUCCGUGCCGUAGCUAACGCUUUAAGUACCCCGCCUGGGGAGUACGGCCGCAAGGCUAAAACUCAAAGGAAUUGACGGGGCCCCGCACAAGCGGCGGAGCAUGCGGAUUAAUUCGAUGCAACGCGUAGAACCUUACCUGGGUUUGACAUGGAUCGGGAGUGCUCAGAGAUGGGUGUGCCUCUUUUGGGGUCGGUUCACAGGUGGUGCAUGGCUGUCGUCAGCUCGUGUCGUGAGAUGUUGGGUUAAGUCCCGCAACGAGCGCAACCCUUGUUCACUGUUGCCAGCACGUUAUGGUGGGGACUCAGUGGAGACCGCCGGGGUCAACUCGGAGGAAGGUGGGGAUGACGCCAAGUCAUCAUGCCCCUUAUGUCCAGGGCUUCACGCAUGCUACAAUGGCUGGUACAGAGAGUGGCGAGCCUGUGAGGGUGAGCGAAUCUCGGAAAGCCGGUCUCAGUUCGGAUUGGGGUCUGCAACUCGACCUCAUGAAGUCGGAGUCGCUAGUAAUCGCAGAUCAGCAACGCUGCGGUGAAUACGUUCCCGGGGCU